AUGUCAACAUCAGAGAACACCACCGCCCAAACAGAGUCCGAAAGGACGAUAGCUCUGAAGAGGAAAUCCAAUGAUGUUGGAUGGAACUAUGGGAAACUAUGUGAUGUCACAAACAAGGAGAGGGUGAAGUGUGACUUUUGUGGCCAUAUUAGCACCGGAGGAAUUAACCAUUUCAAGCUACACAUCACAGGCACCACCUCAAGCGUUCUUUCAUGUUUAAGAUCAACUCCGGAGGCUAAAGCAAUAUGCCAGAGAGCUCUUGAUGCAUAUGAGGCAAAGAAGGUGGCGAAGAAAAAACAUACGGCAGAAGUGAGGGCUGAUGUGCAUGUUACAGCCCUAAAUGAAGCAAGGGAUGGUAGGGAAUCUGUUUGUGUUGGAAGCACAUCAUCGGAGCCCAACAAAUUAGGACCAAUGGACAAGUUUGUGCGUCCUAUUGAUGGUAAAUCAAGCAAAGAGGAAGCCUUGAAGCAGCUAAGUAUGAAUGAAGGACUAUUCAAGGAGAGAAGAGGUCAAUGUUCACCAUAUGUUGCUAGAUGGGUGUAUUCACAUGGCAUACCAUUUAAUGCUCUUGACAAUGAUGAGUUUUGUCAAAUGUGUGAGGCCAUAGGCAAAUUUGGUCCUGGAUAUGAGCCUCCUACUCAAUAUGAGCUUAGGGAGAAGUUGUUGAGUGAUGAAUAUGCAAGGACCAAGAGUUUGUUAGAUGAACGUGAGAAGGAGAAGAUAAAGCUUGGGUGCACCAUCAUGACAGAUGCAUGGACGGACAUGAAGAGGAGGAGCAUAAUGAAUUUGUGCAUGCAUUGCAGUGGGGGGACAAGUUUUCUCAAAUCAAAGGAAACAUCUGAUGUGUCACAUACAAGUUAA
rnacentral:rRNA from 1 species